rnacentral:rRNA from 1 species
UACGUAGGGUGCGAGCGUUAAUCGGAAUUACUGGGCGUAAAGCGUGCGCAGGCGGUUUCACAAGCUCGAUGUGAAAGCCCCGGGCUUAACCUGGGAAUGGCAUUGAGGACUGUGGAGCUCGAGUGCGGCAGAGGGAGGUGGAAUUCCACGUGUAGCAGUGAAAUGCGUAGAGAUGUGGAGGAACACCGAUGGCGAAGGCAGCCUCCUGGGCCGACACUGACGCUCAUGCACGAAAGCUAGGGGAGCAAACAGG